rnacentral:rRNA from 1 species
UAGGGAAUCUUCGGCAAUGGACGAAAGUCUGACCGAGCAACGCCGCGUGAGUGAAGAAGGUUUUCGGAUCGUAAAACUCUGUUGUUAGAGAAGAACAAGGACGUUAGUAACUGAACGUCCCCUGACGGUAUCUAACCAGAAAGCCACGGCUAACUACGUGCCAGCAGCCGCGGUAAUACGUAGGUGGCAAGCGUUGUCCGGAUUUAUUGGGCGUAAAGCGAGCGCAGGCGGUUUCUUAAGUCUGAUGUGAAAGCCCCCGGCUCAACCGGGGAGGGUCAUUAGAAACUGGGAGUCUUGAGUGCAGAAGAGGAGAGUGGAAUUCCAUGUGUAGCAGUGAAAUGCGUAGAUAAAUGGAGGAACACCAGUGGCGAAGGCGGCUCUCUGGUCUGUAACUGACGCUGAGGCUCGAAAGCGUGGGGAGCAAACAGG